rnacentral:lncRNA from 1 species
GAGCCUAAGGUAGUGGUGAAGUCUAAGGAGAGACUCGAGGACAUGGUUGUCUGUUCCAAGUGAAACAUGUAUGGACCAAAUGGAGGUUAGAAGAUAAACCAAGUAUAUCCAAUCUUAGAAGGGAGAUCAGGUUCAAGAUAGCUAGUCAGAGGUUUAGUGUUAGUGAGCAACUGUAAUGGAAUGUUGAGUUACCUAAAGAUCAAUUAUAAGAGUUUGUGUUGGAAACAGAUAACGCAUAUUAUAUAGUAAUGGAAGCUCUAGUGAGUUUU